AGCGAACGCUGGCGGCAGGCUUAACACAUGCAAGUCGAGCGGGCAUCCUUGUGGUGUCAGCGGCAGACGGGUGAGUAACGCGUGGGAACGUGCCCUUCGGUUCGGAAUAACUCAGGGAAACUUGAGCUAAUACCGGAUACGUGCGAGAGCAGAAAGGUUUAUCUGCCGAAGGAUCGGCCCGCGUCUGAUUAGCUAGUUGGUGAGGUUAUGGCUCACCAAGGCGACGAUCAGUAGCUGGUCUGAGAGGAUGAUCAGCCACACUGGGACUGAGACACGGCCCAGACUCCUACGGGAGGCAGCAGUGGGGAAUAUUGGACAAUGGGGGCAACCCUGAUCCAGCCAUGCCGCGUGAGUGAUGACGGUCUUAGGGUUGUAAAGCUCUUUUCUUCGGGACGAUAAUGACGGUACCGGAGGAAUAAGCCCCGGCUAACUUCGUG
rnacentral:rRNA from 1 species